rnacentral:lncRNA from 1 species
AAGCCGGUGCGGCUAGGGCGAGCCUUCUCUGUCCCCCCCAGCAUCACGUUCCCGAGCGGGAGGGCCGAGUCUCCCGCCGAACCCAUCAGCAAGAUUUAUCCCCGCAUUACACAGGCAAGGCCCGAGGGGGCGUCAUCCUCACUCCUGGUCUCCUUGCUUUAAGGGCCUGCCCAACACCAACGCCUGGGAAGGCCCUGCAAGCGACGAUGAGGGCGCUUUUCUGCAGCAUUUCAAAGCCAGCAGAAGCCCCUCCCCCCCGACUCCCCGGCGAGAGAGGCAGAGAAGCUUCCCAUUUAAGAAGGAGGAAGCUGGAGCUCCGGCAGGCCAAGGGAUGCGCCCGUAAUUCCUCGGCGGUUUUUCAGCUGAGUCCGGCUCACCAAGUGAGCCCGUUUUCUUGGCGAAGACGCUGCAGCGCCGCGCCAUUGCCUUCUGCAGCUCAUUUGAGGAAGCCGAGACAGAUGAAGCGGCUUACCCAGAGUCACCCGGCCGGGAAGUGUCGGGGCCCACACUGGAGGGGCCUUCCUAGCUCCGUACCCGCCCCUGCACUGCCUAGCGGGCCCUCGGCGUAACUGGGAGCCCAGACGUGUGUGCGGCGGGGCUGGGGCCGGGCCUCCCGACUGCUGAGUCCCAAAGGUUUCUCUCCGCACGCACCGCGCGGCCUUUCAGGAUUGAAUAUGAAUGGCUCGUGCUCACGAGGCCUUUGGGAGGCACUCUAGGGAGGCUGGCGUGGACUUGUCCAGGCCGCCGGAAGUGGCAGGUUCUUGGUUCUCCUCCUUGGGCGGAUGGAUCAAACCAACGAAGCUGAGAUGGCGCCUCCAUCCCCCCUUUUCUCCCUCUUGCUCUCUGGGCUCACUCCUGCUGAAGAUCCAAAGGCUUCCAUACCCAGACACCUUGAACUGAACCAGUUCUAGGAGGAUUUUCUUCCCCGGCGGCUUUCUGUUUCAACUCAGGCGGGAGAAAUGGUCUCUAGAGGGCAUGGACCAUUAAAGAUCCUUGAGGAGGAGGAGGACGGCAGAUCUGUAUUGUCCUAAUAUCUACCUACAGUUAUCCGAGACAAGUAUUGUUGGGAAUGUUCCUGUCCUAGUUGUUUGUGAUUAGCAGACUGUCUGGUGCUUAAUAAAU